rnacentral:lncRNA from 1 species
CUGUGUCUGGCCAGUGUGGUUCUGGAGCUUUGGGGUAACAGCAGGAUCCAUCAGUUAGUAGGGUGCAUGUCAGACGAUCAUACCCAAUUCAUAUGGAAGUCCCGGGUCUGUCUUCCUUAUCAUCGGGGUGGCAUCUGGUUCUCGAUGUGCCAGCAUCAAGGCACCUUCAGGGAGCUCGGUACCCGAGCCUCAAUCAAGCCUUAUCCUCCAAAUAUGCAGGGAAAGGUGACACAGGGCAGGGAAGGGUGACGUCAGGAGUCAGGGCAUCGACUGGUAAGAUUACUUCAUUGUGUUGAGGCAGGCUGCAGGGCAUUCCACACAAUGGCACAGCAGAGGACAGCACAGGGAGGCAACAGAGUGUUCCCAGCAAUGGCCCAGCUACUGAAAGCAGGCAGCCAGGCUGGGAGGAGUCAGGCUCAAAAGGCAUAAAAAGGACCUUUCACUUAUGUUAAACUGACAUGCCAAAGUGGGCGGAUCACGAAGAAGAGAUUGAGACCAUCCUGGCCAACAUGGUGAAACCCCGUCUCCACUAAAAAUGCAAAAAUUAGCUGGGCGUGGUGGCACGCAC